rnacentral:rRNA from 1 species
GACGAACGCUGGCGGCGUGCUUAACACAUGCAAGUCGAACGGAAAGGCCCUGCUUUUGUGGGGUGCUCGAGUGGCGAACGGGUGAGUAACACGUGAGUAACCUGCCCUUGACUUUGGGAUAACUUCAGGAAACUGGGGCUAAUACCGGAUAGGAGCUCCUGCUGCAUGGUGGGGGUUGGAAAGUUUCGGCGGUUGGGGAUGGACUCGCGGCUUAUCAGCUUGUUGGUGGGGUGGUGGCUUACCAAGGCUUUGACGGGUAGCCGGCCUGAGAGGGUGACCGGCCACAUUGGGACUGAGAUACGGCCCAGACUCCUACGGGAGGCAGCAGUGGGGAAUAUUGCGCAAUGGGCGGAAGCCUGAUGCAGCAACGCCGCGUGCGGGAUGACGGCCUUCGGGUUGUAAACCGCUUUCGCCUGUGACGAAGCGUGAGUGACGGUAAUGGGUAAAGAAGCACCGGCUAACUACGUG